rnacentral:rRNA from 1 species
GACGAACGCUGGCGGCGUGCCUAAUACAUGCAAGUCGUGCGGACCUUUUAAAAGCUUGCUUUUAAAAGGUUAGCGGCGGACGGGUGAGUAACACGUGGGCAACCUGCCUGUAAGACUGGGAUAACGCCGGGAAACCGGGGCUAAUACCGGAUCGUUUUUCGUCCGCAUGGAGGAAAAAGGAAAGGGGGCUUCGGCUGCCACUUACAGAUGGGCCCGCGGCGCAUUAGCUAGUUGGCGGGGUAACGGCCCACCAAGGCAACGAUGCGUAGCCGACCGGCGAGGGUGAUCGGCCACAUUGGGACUGAGACACGGCCCAAACGCCUACGGGAGGCAGCAGUAGGGAAUCUUCCGCAAUGGGCGAAAGUCUGACGGAGCAACGCCGCGGGAGUGAAGAAGGCCUUCGGGUCGGAAAACUCUGUUGCCGGGGAAGAACAAGUGCCGUUCGAACAGGGCGGCGCCUUGACGGUACCCGGCCAGAAAGCCACGGCUAACUACGUG